GGCGUUUGCAUGAAAAUUGCGGACUUUCAUCAUUUGUGGACAAAUAUGUGAUGUUUGAAGAAAUUAAAGAGGUGAUACGGAUAAUCGACAUUCAUUUGUGCCGCCUGAUCAAGUGAGUGGGACAAUCACCGCUACAACAUCGAGUCCAUCGCCUUCGACAUGCAGCUAGUCCAGAGAUACUGCAUCGACGUUAAGACGUUAACUCCUCAGUCACUGAGGUACACAGGGUAAUACACUUUUAAACAAGAUUUUAUGCAAACAGAAUGGAUCAAGCCAAAUAGAAAGCCAUUAAUUUACAUAAGCUGUAUACUUCGCUUAAUUAUCUUCAUUGCUUACAAGACUAAGGAUUACUGAGAGUACUUCCAGUCCUUCGGGUUGAACCUGUUCAUGGUGUCUUGUGUUGAAAAGUUGCUUGUGGGCAAGCUUGUGUAGCGACACAAACAGCAUAUCCACUUACCUUGAUGGCUCUUUUAUGCAAGGACAUUGACCGCUCAGGCUUAUCUGUGACAAUAAUUUACGCACAUGCAUUAAACCUGGUCUUCUCAAGGCAAGUGCAUGGGUAAAUGAAAUGGGAUCAACUCCAGCUUGAAUUCUGAAAGUAUCCUGUCUAGGCGAGACGUGCUCUAAGAUAGUGGACAUGUGUGUCAGUAGUCCAUGCCUGCAUGGUGGGACCUGUGUGCCACGUGACGACCAUUACAUCUGUAACGCAGCAAGGGGUUUGCUGGACCAAAUUGUGAGACAUUUUCCCGCAAUAUUUUGUCAACUGUCCAAAUGAACCAAUCAACAUCAAACCAGGGGAGGUAAUCAAUGUUUCA